rnacentral:rRNA from 1 species
GACGAACGCUGGCGGCGUGCCUAAUACAUGCAAGUCGAGCGAAGUUUUUCUGGUGCUUGCACUAGAAACACUUAGCGGCGAACGGGUGAGUAACACGUAAAGAACCUGCCUCAUAGACUGGGACAACUAUUGGAAACGAUGCUAAUACCGGAUAACAGUAUUUCUCGCAUGGGAGAUAUUUAAAAGUUGGUUAUGCUAACACUAUGAGAUGGCUUUGCGGUGCAUUAGCUAGUUGGUGGGGUAAAGGCCCACCAAGGCGACGAUGCAUAGCCGACCUGAGAGGGUGAUCGGCCACACUGGGACUGAGACACGGCCCAGACUCCUACGGGAGGCAGCAGUAGGGAAUCUUCCGCAAAGGGCGAAAGCCUGACGGAGCAACGCCGCGUGAGUGAAGAAGGAUUUCGGUUCGUAAAGCUCUGUUGUUAGGGAAGAAUGGAUAUGUAGUAACUAUACAUGUAAGAGACGGUACCUAACCAGAAAGCCACGGCUAACUACGUG